AAUGAAGAAAAUUAUUUAUUUCUUCUUUACGUCGUUUACGGCUACUGGCAUAUUUCUGAACGUGCCCAUUCCGCCGAAGUUGAACCACAAAGAGAGAGGACCGCUUACCUUGAACUGUAAGCAAAGGGCAAAGAUAAACACACAAAGACUCCAUAGGGGGUAAAGACAAGGGGAUACUGUAUGUGAAGGAACGUUCUCUCAAAAAGGGGCGAAAUGGCUGGAAAGUCAUGAAAGGCAAGCAGGGACAAAAAUUAGAUAGUCCAGGAAGAGAACCUAAAGUUGCUUAGAAGAUUUGAAAAUGAAGCAGAGGUUCAUCUAUCUGCAGGACAACAACACGUGUCUCCUGCCCACAGCAUCAACCUCAUCGACUCUUUUAAGAUCGUAGAGUAAUAUGUGUUACGUUAACAUAUCAUUUCAGUCUGGGAUAAAUUAAGUAUUUUUGAAAUGAAUUGAACUGAACUGAGUUAAACAUUCAGCUGGAGUAAAAAUGUAAUGGUCUAGAUCAAAGCACAUUCAUGCUCCAGAAAAUGGAAAAUGUGAAGAAAGACUUGUAAACUGAUGUUUUAUAUCCAGAUGUGGAAAACUGUGGAAACAUACAACUAAACAUUGAACUGGAAGAGUUUUCCUCUUGAACCUCAGGUUGCAUAUUUGUAAAAAUAAUAAUAAUAAUAAAAAAGAAUUGAGAACCAUG